rnacentral:rRNA from 1 species
ACUCCUACGGGAGGCAGCAGUGGGGAAUUUUGGACAAUGGGCGCAAGCCUGAUCCAGCAAUGCCGCGUGCAGGAUGAAGGCCUUCGGGUUGUAAACUGCUUUUGUACGGAGCGAAACGGUCUUUCCUAAUACGAGAGGCUAAUGACGGUACCGUAAGAAUAAGCACCGGCUAACUACGUGCCAGCAGCCGCGGUAAUAC